rnacentral:rRNA from 1 species
AUUGAACGCUGGCGGCAUGCCUAACACAUGCAAGUCGAACGGCAGCACGGGUGCUUGCACCUGGUGGCGAGUGGCGAACGGGUGUGUAAUGCAUCGGAACGUGCCUAUUAGUGGGGGAUAACGCUUCGAAAGGAGUGCUAAUACCGCAUAAUCUCUGAGGAGGAAAGCAGGGGACCUUCGGGCCUUGCGCUGAUAGAGCGGCCGAUGUCAGAUUAGCUAGUUGGUGAGGUAAAGGCUCACCAAGGCGACGAUCUGUAGCGGGUCUGAGAGGAUGAUCCGCCACACUGGAACUGAGACACGGUCCAGACUCCUACGGGAGGCAGCAGUGGGGAAUUUUGGACAAUGGGGGCAACCCUGAUCCAGCCAUGCCGCGUGAGUGAAGAAGGCCUCGGUU